rnacentral:RNase_P_RNA from 1 species
AUUUUCGGAUAAUCGCAUGGUUGCUAGUCUUCCAUGAGGAAAGUCCAUGCUAGCACUGGCUGUGAUGCCAGUAGUGUUUGUGCUAGGUGAAUUAAUAAGCCUAGGGACUUGAUUUUCAAGUUACGGCGAGUGAACUGGCUAAGUCUUUGGAUAGGUUUUAGUAGCUCUGAAAGUGCCACAGUGACGGAGUUUUUAGGGAAACCUAAAAAGUGGAACGCGGUAAACCCCUCAAGCUAGCAACCCAAACUUUGGUAGG